CUUUACGGCCACACCGCCUUGGUUCCCCCGAUCUCGUUUGAUCUCGGAAGCUAAGAUAGGGUGGGCCUGGUUAGUACUUGGAUGGGAGACCGCCUGGGAAUACCAGGUGUUGUAAGAU
rnacentral:rRNA from 1 species